AUGGGUUGGGCUGGCGAGGCUGGCUGGGACGCGGUUCCGAUUCCCGGGAGGAGGGUGGUCUGGGUGCCUUGGUGGCGAGGCUUCUCGAAGCGGUCGACUCGGGUGGUUUGGCUUUGUUGCGAUGCGACUAUGGGUUGGGGUGGGGGUGGUCGGGUCCGACGCGUUUAUGCGAGCGAGAGGGGAUCGAUCGCGUGGGCCGCUCGAUCUCUCGGGGCAGGCGGAGAGCGUUCCAGACGCGGGCCGAAGCGUGUCCCUGCCGCACACCCGUGUGCUGUACGUAUAAUAACCGUGGUUUUGUUUUCCUUGGCCAAAAUGUUUGUUAAGAAAUUUUUUCUUUCAACAUCAGUACACACACAGGCGCUCGUACAUACGCGCACACAACGUGAAUCCACAAACCGCCCCAUCCAUUCGGACCGUGCGGUUUGGAAGUGUUUUGGUCUCGAACGUCCUUUCUCGCCCGAAGUGAUCACCGCCACACGCAUGCCGGCCCACAGCGAACGCGACCUCACACUGGAGCCGUCAUUGAAGAGGCGCGCCGGCCCAGAGCGGACGCGACCUUGCGCUGGAGCCGACAUUGAAGAGGUGUGCCGCCCGAAAAUGUCACCCUCGCCGUCUCCCCAUGGACGCCUCCGCGUUCAAACGACAAUUCGUUUUGUCCACCUCGCUCCAAUAAACAUGAGCGGUUGCCGAGGAACCAACUUCGGUGCCACCUGUUUGUUCGUCUACCGCGCACCAUUAACCACCUUGCCGCCUCGCUUGCCAUCCAUCUGCAAUUUAAACAUCAGGCCUAGCAAUAGCUGCAUCCAACCUUUUUCGCUCCCUAUCUCCUCUCAGCACCACACCCGCCAUGGCUUCCUCGAGCUCCAAAGCUCUGUGGGAUCGUCCGAACAGAAGAAGGAGAUCGCCGCCAUUGCUAUGGAGGAGGCGGUCGACGACGAGCCGGCCCAUGCCGACAUCACCAAGGGGGAGGCGCGACUCACUACACCGACAUGGUGCUAG
rnacentral:rRNA from 1 species